rnacentral:rRNA from 1 species
UACAGAGGGGGCAAGCGUUGUUCGGAAUUACUGGGCGUAAAGGGCGCGUAGGCGGCCUGUUAAGUCGAACGUGAAAUCCCCAGGCUCAACCUGGGAACUGCGUCCGAUACUGGCAGGCUUGAAUCCGGGAGAGGGAUGCGGAAUUCCUGGUGUAGCGGUGAAAUGCGCAGAUAUCAGGAGGAACACCGAUGGCGAAGGCAGGUCUCUGGGCAUUAACUGACGCUGAGGAGCGAAAGCAUGGGGAGCGAACAGGA